AGAAUCAGGAGGCCAGCCUAGAUUGCUGCGCUCCAAAACCCACACUUCGCAAUGCGGUUUUACUGACUUCCUGGAGGCCCUUCUGCUCUCUCGUUUUUCUCCUUCCUCCUCCUCCUCCUCUUUUUCUUUCCUCUCUCUCUCCUUCUCUUUCAUUUUCAGUUAUUUUGACACUCCAGGUUUUAUUCUGGAGAUGCAAAUCUGCCAGAAACCUGAACUUCAGGUAAGGUAUUUCUGCUAUGUGCUUUUAUACUUGCCCUCAGGUGGUCUACAAUUUGGCUGAAGACUUGGGACAGGAGAUACACUGUGAGAGAACUGGAAGAGAUAAUUCCUAACUCGGUGACCGAUCACAGCGCCAAUGCAGUGAUUUACCUCUUCAUGACUUCUCGGCUGGAUUACCAUAAUAACCUCUCCUGGGUCUCCAACCUCCAUCCCCUCGAUCCACUCUUCAAACUGUGGCCACAGUGAACUUUCACAAAUGCAAGUAGGUCCACUCUGCCUUAAUAUCCUACCCUCAAGAGAGAACCCAGUGCCAGUUCCCUCGGAUGUACACCCGCAAGCCUUCUGUACGAAUAAAGUCACCCUGAGCUCUAGAAUGUAGAUAAAAGCGCUUCCAGCCCUCGUCUCACAGGUAUGGAAAUGCAGUGCCUUCAUUUCUCUUCUUCUUUACCUUAGAAACCGGACUCGGCUCUGGAUCCAACCUCACCUUGAUUCACCUGUUUCUCGUUUGGUCAGAAUACCUUCAGUCUAACUGUAUAGUACAUGAAAUUGGAAGUUCUGACAGACUCACCAAGAUACAUCCCAAGAGCAAAGAGCUGGUGGUGUCCUUAGGGAGAAGAAGUGGAAUUCAAAGAGACUGACCGCAGUCAAAAGAAACUCUUUCUUUGAGGGCGACCCCGUGGUACCUCAGAGCAGCUCAGAGCAGCUUCAGCUUCUCUUUGUAACCGAGGGAAGGCGGGCGUUCCGCUGAGCUCUAACAUUCUAGGAGUUGAGGAUGAGUGAGCUUGGAAGCUGGUGCCAGCUACGUA